UACGAAGGGGGCUAGCGUUGUUCGGAAUUACUGGGCGUAAAGCGCGUGUAGGCGGGUCUUUAAGUCAGGGGUGAAAUGCCAAGGCUCAACCUUGGAACUGCCUUUGAUACUGGAGACCUUGAGUCCGGGAGAGGUGAGUGGAAUUGCGAGUGUAGAGGUGAAAUUCGUAGAUAUUCGCAAGAACACCAGUGGCGAAGGCGGCUCACUGGGACGGUACUGGCGCUGAGACGCGAAAGCGUGGGGAGCAAACAGG
rnacentral:rRNA from 1 species